AUGAUUCUCUUAGGGUGGAACUGCCGCGGGAUGCGUCAGUCCCGGGCAGUUAGAGCACUCCUGGAUGUUCAGAAGUGCUACAAACCAUAUGUGUUAUUUCUUUCGGAAACUCAUCUGUCUGACGCAAGGGCCGAAUGGUUGAUGAGGAAGUUAGGGUUCCAGGAGAGGCUGGUUGACCCGAGUGAUGGGAGGGCGGGAGGAUUAUUGAUG
rnacentral:rRNA from 1 species